rnacentral:pre_miRNA from 1 species
GAGCUACUCCUUCCGUUCGGAAUUACUCGUCCAAUAAAUGAAUGUAUCUAGAUGUAUUUUAGUUGUAGAUACAUCCAUUUUUGUGACAAGUAAUUCCGAAUGGAGGGAGUACAUA